rnacentral:rRNA from 1 species
GACGAACGCUGGCGGCGUGCUUAACACAUGCAAGUCGAACGAUGAACCAGGGCUUGCCCUGGGGAUUAGUGGCGAACGGGUGAGUAACACGUGGGCAACCUGCCCCAGACACCGGGAUAACCUCUCGAAAGAGUGGCUAAUACCGGAUAUGACCACUUCGGGCAUCCGACGGUGGUGGAAAGGAUUCUGGUCUGGGAUGGGCCGCGGCCUAUCAGCUAGUUGGUGGGGUAAUGGCCUACCAAGGCGACGACGGGUAGCCGGCCUGAGAGGGCGACCGGCCACGCUGGGACUGAGACACGGCCCAGACUCCUACGGGAGGCAGCAGUGGGGAAUAUUGCGCAAUGGGCGAAAGCCUGACGCAGCGACGCCGCGUGAGGGACGAAGGGUCUUCGGAUUGUAAACCUCUUUCAGCAGGGACGAAGCGAAAGUGACUGUACCUGCAGAAGAAGCACCGGCUAACUACGUGCCAGCAGCCGCGGUAAU